rnacentral:rRNA from 1 species
UACGGAGGGGGCUAGCGUUGUUCGGAAUUACUGGGCGUAAAGCGCACGUAGGCGGCUUUGUAAGUUAGAGGUGAAAGCCCAGGGCUUAACCCUGGAAUUGCCUUUAAGACUGCAUCGCUAGAAUUGUGGAGAGGUAAGUGGAAUUCCGAGUGUAGAGGUGAAAUUCGUAGAUAUUCGGAGGAACACCGGUGGCGAAGGCGGGUCUCUGGACCGAUACUGACACUGAGGAGCGAAAGGCGUGGGGAGCGAACAGG